rnacentral:tRNA from 1 species
AUCAAAAUCCCGAGUGAUGACCACUACACUAUAGCACC